CGGGUUAUGGCUGAGUGGUAAAGCCUCUGCCUAGCAUGCACAAGGCCCUGGGUUCAAUCCCUAGUAAUGCAG
rnacentral:tRNA from 1 species